rnacentral:rRNA from 1 species
AGUGAACGCUGGCGGUAGGCCUAACACAUGCAAGUCGAACGGCAGCACAGUAAGAGCUUGCUCUUACGGGUGGCGAGUGGCGGACGGGUGAGGAAUACAUCGGAAUCUACUUUUUCGUGGGGGAUAACGUAGGGAAACUUACGCUAAUACCGCAUACGACCUACGGGUGAAAGCAGGGGAUCUUCGGACCUUGCGCGAUUGAAUGAGCCGAUGUCGGAUUAGCUAGUUGGCGGGGUAAAGGCCCACCAAGGCGACGAUCCGUAGCUGGUCUGAGAGGAUGAUCAGCCACACUGGAACUGAGACACGGUCCAGACUCCUACGGGAGGCAGCAGUGGGGAAUAUUGGACAAUGGGCGGAAGCCUGAUCCAGCCAUACCGCGUGGGUGAAGGAGGCCUUCGGGUUUUAAAGCCCUUUUGUUGGGAAAGAAAAGCAGCAGGUUAAUACCCCGCUGUUCUGACGGUACCCAAAGAAUAAGCACCGGCUAACUUCGUG